CCAAGUAUGUGCAGAAUGAAAUUCCAACUACCCGGCAAAGAAGUGCUGGCAGUACCAGUCACAGCGAAAUAUAAGUUCCCACAGAGCUGCAGAGAGCAACAGUAACAAACUGUGCUGCUAUAUGUAAAUGUGUGCCUGCCUAGAUGUCAUGAAUUGAAAACGAAAUAUAAGAACAUAAGGGCGGGCAUAUAACCGCCAAUGCUAACAAACAAGGAAGCAAGGACUAAAACAGCAGAAAAAGGCAACACGACAGCAAACAAGUCACAAAAAAAAAAGGAAAACUAACUAGAAGGGUGCAGCAAUAAGUGCGAUAAGAAGACUUUCUCCUUGAAGAUUAUUAUAAUGAUGUUCUAUCGACCUUAAGUAUGUAAAUACGCAAUGGCAAAACGAAAACCCACAGCAGGGUAUAUGGGUAUGAGGGUAUGUCCUCACAUGCAUGCACACAUGCGAGAGGUAGAGUCGCUUAUGUAAAUAUUUUGGUAUUAUGUAUAUUUGAUGGAAAUAAAUCUUUGCCUCAUAAUUUA